AUGUUGAGCACUUACUCUGUGUCUGGCGUGGGGCUACGUGCUGGGGUCACAGAGAUAAGGACAGCACCGUCCUUGAAGGUCAUAAUCCAGCAGGGGCGAUGGGCCAGUAAAUAGAUAAUUAAUGCUAGAAAAGCGAUUGAUGGAUUUGCUCAGAAGGUCACCCAUUCCACAAGGGGACCCACUCUCUGUGCCAGGCACUGUUCCAGGCUCUGGAGUCACAGCAGAGAGCAAAAUGGGCAAAAAGUCUCUGCCCUCGUGGGGCGUACCCAGUGAUUUAGCUACAGCGCUGUGGGAACUCAGAAGAGCUGGGAACAAAUAGCUGCAAAACCUGUCAAGAACAAGGGACAAGUGACGUUGGAGGAGGGUGUAGAGAUCUAAGGGGCAGAACUGCGAGGUUUCGGGUGCCACUGCGGUUGAAUUUCCCUCUUCCACCCACCUAGGCGACCCAGACGGAGUCUGUUCCUUUCUGGGGCCCAAGGACUCUACUUUGCUAAAGUGGAAGGCUCUUGGCCAGGGUCACUGCCAUCCCUGCUUUAACGGGUAGCCCAAGAGUAAUGACUAAGAGUGCCCCCUUUACUCUUAACAGCGUCCAGGUUUGCUCGUACUUGUGUGGUCACACUACUCUUGCCGAACUUCCCUGCCUGGCUCAGACAACUGGACCCUCAGCAGCUCCCACCGAGGGCUCUCUGGGCCUGGAGUGGCCAGGUCUAGGUGGGGUGACAGGUUAUUCAGUCCAAGAUAACUUCCAGUCGCUUCCAGGUCUCGCUUACUCCUGCCCGAAACCUGCGGCCGCGAGUGGCUCUCCCCCACCCAGGGGCGCUGCCAGGUAGGCUAGGUCAAGCAGGGAAAGUGCCAGAGCUGGGCGGUAGCUGCCGUGCUCCGUGCGUAAGGCUCCACCCCAGAUCACCUGCAUUACCGUAAACAGGUACAGACAAAGAUCCAAUAGUCAUGAAAGAUAACUUUACUGAGUACCGACAACAUGCCAAGCACCAAAAGAAGUUCCUAAUAUUCAUUGUUAUUUUAUUUUAUGCGCACACUGAUGCUACGAAGUAGGUACUGCUCUUUUCCCCAUGUUACAAAAGCAGAAACUGAAGUUCAGAUGGUGGCACAAUUUGUCCAAAGUCCUGUGACCAGGAAGUAGGGAACCAAGAGGCAAUAUUCAAAUCCAAUCACACUGUCCAUGCCCCCAGUCACGCUGAGGGAAGAGGGUUCCUGUUGAUUCCUCAGGUAUUGACUGUGCAGUGUGUUCCUCUUGCACGGAACAGGUCAGCAUGGGGCGAGGGUAGGUCAGGGAUGCAGACUCCUUCCAGCCACCUCCUUACUGUCCCCAAAACUUUCCUCUUGGGCUCCACUGCUCUCUGGGAGUUUUGAGGUGGGACCUAAGUGGUCCGGGCGUGCGACAGACUCAGUACAUGCUCCCUCUUGAGGCGAUUACAGCAGCAUUCCUCCAUAUGCUCAGGCCUCAAUCCUUAGGCUGGACUUUGUAAUAAGACCAGCCUGCCUAUCCCAGUCACUCACUAGCUGACUCCAUGCACAUCUGUUGUUCUUAGCUUCAGUUUUCUCAUCUGCAGAAAUGGGUAUAAGGAUACUUACCUAGGAGGUCUGUGUUGAAGAGUAAAUGAGGUGAUCUAGGAGAAAGCUCACAGCUAUAGCAUAAUGUCUAACAUAAAGUAUGUGCUCAAUAAACUCUAAAUGUAGCUUUAACCUGACAGUCAUUCUCAAGUCUUUCAAGUCUACCUCCUCCCUCGACCACAACUUCCCUCUCAGAACUGCUACGGCUUUUCUUGUGCUGGCCACUUACUGGCACCUAGUUAUGCAGUGUGGGCAUUCUGGUUUGAUAUAACAGAAUCUGAUUGUAGAGAAUAAUAUGAAGAUUGCCGACACAGAAAUCAGAGGUGCCUUCGGGAACUCACAGCUGCAGAUACAGAUCCACCAGCUUCUACCCUCAGAAUCCGUGUGGUAGUUGCCAUGAAACAGGAUCCCAUCUAUGAUAUCCCCUUCGAUUUAGUUGUCGUGUUUCCUUAGGCCUCUCUUGACCAUGGCAGUUUUUCAGACUUUCCUUGUUUCCUUGUUUCCUUGAGGACUGCUGGCCAGGAACCCAUCCAGCAUAAAUUACAUCCAGUUGUCAUGUCUCCGCAGACCCCUCUUAACUGUGGUAGUUUUUUAGACUUUCCUUGUUUUUGAUGAUCUCUACAGUUUUGAAGAAUACUGGGCAGGCAUUUCAUAAAAUGUCUUUCAAUUGGAACUUUUCUGAUGUUUUUCUUAUUAGACUGGGGCUCUUGUAAGGAAGACCAGAGGAAAAUGCUAUUGCUUUACAUCAUAUCAAGGGUACCUGCUAUCAACUUGACUUAUCGAUGUUGAUCUUGACCUCGAUCACCUGGUUGAGGGAGUGUUAGGAUUCUCCACUGUAAAGUUACUUUUUUUUCCCCCUCUACCAUUUGAUACUGUCCCCUUAGGAAGGGAGUCACUAUGC